rnacentral:rRNA from 1 species
CAAUAGCGUAUAUUAAAGUUGUUGCAGUUAAAAAGCUCGUAGUUGAAUUUUUGCUUGCCGCCGAUGUCGGAACUUCCGUACGUUCGGCGGCGUACAUCCUUGGGUGGAACCUGUGUGGCAUUAGGUUGUCGUGCAGGGGAUGCUCAUCGUUUACUGUGAAAAAAUUAGAGUGUUCAAAGCAGGCUUACGCCGUUGAAUAUAUUAGCAUGGAAUAAUAAGAUAGGACCUUGGUACUAUUUUGUUGGUUUGCGCACCGAGGUAAUGAUUAACAGGGACAGUUGGGGGUAUUCGUAUUCCAUUGUCAGAGGUGAAAUUCUUGGAUUUCUGGAAGACGAACUACUGCGAAAGCAUUUACCAAGGAUGUUUUCAUUAA